CACACGUUCGACUUAACACACUUUAUUCACUCCGUAUGGCCCCCUUAUAUAGGCGGGAGGAGAGACAACACGAACAUCAACCUUUUCUUCAGAAUUAUUUAAAAUACGAUUUUGAUACAGGAACAGGUAGUGGUCAUUACAGAGUAAAAUACAUAUACUUUCAUUUUAAAAAAUAACAUAUAAAAAUAAUAAGUUUAAAGAAAGUGCAGAUA